UACGAAGGGGGCUAGCGUUGCUCGGAAUCACUGGGCGUAAAGCGCACGUAGGCGGAUUGCUAAGUCAGGGGUGAAAUCCUGGAGCUCAACUCCAGAACUGCCUUUGAUACUGGCGAUCUCGAGUCCGGGAGAGGUGAGUGGAACUGCGAGUGUAGAGGUGAAAUUCGUAGAUAUUCGCAAGAACACCAGUGGCGAAGGCGGCUCACUGGCCGGUACUGACGCUGAGUGCGCAAAGCGUGGGGAGCAAACAGGAU
rnacentral:rRNA from 1 species